UACGUAGGGUGCAAGCGUUAAUCGGAAUUACUGGGCGUAAAGCGUGCGCAGGCGGUGAUGUAAGACAGAUGUGAAAUCCCCGGGCUCAACCUGGGAACUGCAUUUGUGACUGCAUCGCUGGAGUGCGGCAGAGGGGGAUGGAAUUCCGCGUGUAGCAGUGAAAUGCGUAGAUAUCAGGAGGAAUACCGAUGGCGAAGGCAGGUCUCUGGGCUAGAACUGACGCUCAUGCACGAAAGCGUGGGGAGCAAACAGG
rnacentral:rRNA from 1 species